rnacentral:tRNA from 1 species
CGGGGUGUAGCGCAGCCUGGUAGCGCAUCUGGUUUGGGACCAGAGGGUCGCAGGUUCAAAUCCUGUCGCCCCGACCA